rnacentral:rRNA from 1 species
GGACUACCGGGGUAUCUAAUCCCGUUCGCUCCCCUAGCUUUCGCACAUGAGCGUCAGUUACCAGCCAGGAUGCUGCCUUCGCCUUCGGUGUUCUUCCAGAUCUCUACGCAUUUCACCGCUCCACCUGGAAUUCCGCAUCCCUCUCUGGUCCUCAAGUCUCCCAGUUUUCCGAGCCCUGUGGCAGUUAAGCCACCACCUGUCACUCGCAACUUAAGAGACCGCCUGCGUGCGCUUUACGCCCAAUAAAUCCGGACAACGCUUGCCCCCUACGUAUUACCGCGGCUGCUGGCAC